rnacentral:rRNA from 1 species
AACUUAAAGGAAUUGGCGGGGGCCCGCUCAAGCGGUGGAGCAUGUGGUUCAAUUCGAAGCAACGCGAAGAACCUUACCAGGCCUUGACAUGCUAGGGAACCUGGGUGAAAGCCUGGGGUGCCCCGCGAGGGGAGCCCUAGCACAGGUGCUGCAUGGCCGUCGUCAGCUCGUGUCGUGAGAUGUUGGGUUAAGUCCCGCAACGAGCGCAACCCCUGCCGUUAGUUGCCAGCGGGUGAAGCCGGGCACUCUAACGGGACUGCCUGCGAAAGCAGGAGGAAGGCGGGGACGACGUCUGGUCAUCAUGGCCCUUACGGCCUGGGCGACACACGUGCUACAAUGCCCACUACAGAGCGAGGCGACCUGGCAACAGGGAGCGAAUCGCAAAAAGGUGGGCGUAGUUCGGAUUGGGGUCUGCAACCCGACCCCAUGAAGCCGGAAUCGCUAGUAAUCGCGGAUCAGCCAUGCCGCGGUGAAUACGUUCCCGGGCCUUGUACACACCGCCCGUCGCCGCCCAUGUACACACCGCCCGUC